rnacentral:rRNA from 1 species
UACGUAGGGUGCGAGCGUUAAUCGGAAUUACUGGGCGUAAAGCGUGCGCAGGCGGUUGGUUAAGUCAGCUGUGAAAGCCCCGGGCUCAACCUGGGAAUUGCGGUUGAAACUGGCGAACUAGAAUCUGGCAGAGGGGGGUGGAAUUCCACGUGUAGCAGUGAAAUGCGUAGAGAUGUGGAGGAACACCGAUGGCGAAGGCAGCCCCCUGGGCUGAGAUUGACGCUCAGGCACGAAAGCGUGGGGAGCAAACAGG